rnacentral:rRNA from 1 species
GGGAUAGAUCGGCCCAGCACCGAAUCCCCGAGGCGAGAGCUUCGCGGGAACUGUGGUGUAUAGGAAGGCGAUUUGUCGGCCGUGUCUCCCGGCGCCCAGGUCCUCCUGAUCGUGGCCUCUCAUUCCCAUGGCGGGUGUUAGGCCCAUACUGGCGCUCUAGGAGCCGGCGGCAUUCGAACUUCCUCGGAGUCGGGUUGUUUGGGAAUGCAGCCCGAAGCGGGUGGUAAACUCCAUCUAAGGCUGAAUAUGAACACGAGUCCGAUAGCGAACAAGUACCGUGAGGGAAAGUUGAAAAGAACUCUGAAGAGAGAGUUCAAGAGUGCGUGAAACCGCCCAGAGUCAAACGGGUGGACCCGCAGAAUCAGUUCGGCGCGGGGAAUUCAGCCGGCCUUUGCUCGAGAGCCUGCUCGCGGCGGAUCUGCCCUUCGUGGACGGACCGCCCGGGCGCGAUCUCGGCUCACACUGCAUGGCCGGUGGACUUUCUCCGCGUCGAGUGCCACGACCGGUUCCCGCACAAAGUCAGCGCCAGACGGCCGAGAGGCAGGGUGGCUACCCCCCGGAGCGCCGCUUCGGCGGCGUUUCGGACGGGAAGCGUUACAGGCCUUUUCUCGGACCCGGGCCGCUGCAUCAGGGGACCGAGGAAGCAACCGUGCCGCGCGGUGUCUUGCGGCGGGCUAUCGGCGGACGAUCGACUGCGGCUGGCACUGUCUCUCUCGGGAGACAGUCAUGUCGCGACAGCGCUCCGUCGAAGGGCUCGCCUGCUUGCCCGUUGCGCGCAAGGUCAGUGGCGACUCGGUCGGUCCUCCACCCGACCCGUCUUGAGACACGGACCAAGGAGUCUAACAUGUGCGCGAGUCAGAGGGUCUCGUACAAAACCCCGUGGCACAA